AAUCAGUCGUUUAGGCUCUCUCCUCCUCCUCCUUUCUCUCUUCAACUCUAAACUCUUGAAAGUUGAAACCUCCAAUCCAAAUAAAUUAUUCUCGGUUUUUCCCAUCCUUAGAUCUUCCUCUCCUUCAUAAUUUAAGUGUUUAAAGAUUCACCACUUCAACCUUCAAGAUUUGGAUCCUUACACGCCACAAACAUAGCCUCUGCUUCAGCUUGCUUCAAGUCUCUGCUUCAACUUGCUUCAGCUUGCUUCAACAUUGUACAUUAUUUGAGAACUAUGUUGUAUAAAGUUUGUAAAAAUAAAAAAUAAAAAACAUUGAUUGAUUUUGAAUUCUGAUUUGUUAUUUAUUUAGUAUACUAUAUUUUUGUAUCUAA